rnacentral:rRNA from 1 species
AACGAACGCUGGCGGCAUGCCUAACACAUGCAAGUCGAACGAGACCUUCGGGUCUUGUGGCGCACGGGUGCGUAACGCGUGGGAACCUGCCCUUAGGUUCGGAAUAACUCCCCGAAAGGGGUGCUAAUACCGGACAAUGUCUUCGGCCCAAAGAUUUAUCGCCUUUGGUUGGGCCCGCGUUGGAUUAGCUAGUUGGUAGGGUAAAAGCCUACCAAGGCGACGAUCCAUAGCUGGUCAGAGAGGAUGGUCAGCCACACUGGGACUGGGACGCGGCCCGGACUCCUACGGGAGGCAGCAAUGGGGAAUAGUGGACAAUGGGCGAAAGCCUGAACCAGCAAUGCCGCGUGAGUGAUGAAGGCCUUAGGGUUGUAAAGCUCUUUUACCCGGGAUGAUAAUGACAGUACCGGGAGAAUAAGCUCCGGCUAACUCCGUG